rnacentral:rRNA from 1 species
AGAGUUUGAUCCUGGCUCAGGAUGAACGCUAGCGGCAGGCUUAAUACAUGCAAGUCGUGGGGCAGCAGGUCCCGACGCAAGUCGGGAUGCUGGCGACCGGCAAACGGGUGCGGAACACGUACACAACCUUCCUUUAAGUGGGGAAUAGCCCGGGGAAACCCGGAUUAAUACCCCGUAAUAUAAUAGAGUGGCAUCGCUUUAUUAUUAUAGCUCCGGCGCUUGAAGAUGGGUGUGCGACUGAUUAGGCAGUUGGCGGGGUAACGGCCCACCAAACCUACGAUCAGUAACUGGUGUGAGAGCACGACCAGUCACACGGGCACUGAGACACGGGCCCGACUCCUACGGGAGGCAGCAGUAAGGAAUAUUGGUCAAUGGACGCAAGUCUGAACCAGCCAUGCCGCGUGGAGGAUGAAGGUCCUCUGGAUUGUAAACUUCUUUUAUCUGGGAAGAAAUCCACAAAUUCUUUUGUGGUUGACGGUACCAGAUGAAUAAGCACCGGCUAACUCCGUGCCAGCAGCCGCGGUAAUACGGAGGGUGCAAGCGUUAUCCGGAUUCACUGGGUUUAAAGGGUGCGUAGGUGGGUUGGUAAGUCAGUGGUGAAAUCUCCAGGCUUAACUUGGAAACUGCCAUUGAUACUAUCAAUCUUGAAUACCGUGGAGGUCAGCGGAAUAUGUCAUGUAGCGGUGAAAUGCUUAGAUAUGACAUAGAACACCAAUUGCGAAGGCAGCUGGCUACACGAAUAUUGACACUGAUGCACGAAAGCGUGGGGAUCAAACAGGAUUAGAUACCCUAGUAGUCC